rnacentral:rRNA from 1 species
GACAGAGGGUGCAAACGUUGCUCGGAAUUACUGGGCGUAAAGGGCGUGUAGGCGGGAAGGCAAGUCGGGCGUGAAAGCCCCAGGCUCAACCUGGGAACUGCACUCGAAACUGCCUUUCUUGAGUGCCUGGAGAGGAAAGCGGAAUUCUCGGUGUAGAGGUGAAAUUCGUAGAUAUCGAGAGGAACAUCGGUGGCGAAGGCGGCCUUCUGGACAGUGACUGACGCUGAGACGCGAAAGCGUGGGGAGCAAACAGG